AGUGAACGCUGGCGGUAGGCCUAACACAUGCGAGUCGAACGGCAGCACAGUAAGAGCUUGCUCUUACGGGUGGCGAGUGGCGGACGGGUGCGGAAUACAUCGGAAUCUACUUUUUCGUGGGGGAUAACGUAGGGAAACUUACGCUAAUACCGCAUACGACCUACGGGUGAAAGCAGGGGAUCUUCGGCCCUUGCGCGAUUGAAUGAGCCGAUGUCGGAUUAGCUAGGUGGCGGGGUAAAGGCCCACCAAGGCGACGAUCCGUAGCUGGUCUGAGAGGAUGAUCAGCCACACUGGAACUGAGACACGGUCCAGACUCCUACGGGAGGCAGCAGUGGGGAAUAUUGGACAAUGGGCGCAAGCCUGAUCCAGCCAUACCGCGUGGGUGAAGAAGGCCUUCGGGUUGUAAAGCCCUUUUGUUGGGAAAGAAAAGCAGCAGGUUAAUACCCCGCUGUUCUGACGGUACCCAAAGAAUAAGCACCGGCUAACUUCGUG
rnacentral:rRNA from 1 species